rnacentral:lncRNA from 1 species
UGAAAACAACUUUUGACUCUCUCCAGACUCAUUUAUUGAGUUUUGCUUGAUUCUAAGCUCGUUCCGAGUAGUAAAGGGUGUAAUUUGGUCCAAAUUGACAUAUGAAAAUCAUUGUUUUUCAACCUUCUUCAAUCUCCAUGAAGCACAUAAAUUUAUUUUUCUUCCUAUGAUAUUUCUUUUUAUGAGGAAGGGGUUUUUCAUAUGAUCUUUUCUUCUUUCCUCUCUUCCUCUUUUUCUUAAUUUUCUCCUCCCUUAGCUUUCUCUUUUUCUUUUUCUUUUCUUUCUUUAUUUUCACAUUUUUUUUCUUUUUUUCUUUUCUUUCAACCACUGCUUUUCCUUUCGCAUCAUCCUUCUUACUCUCACUCAACUUUUCUGUUUCUAUCUCC